rnacentral:rRNA from 1 species
GACGUAGGAUGCAAGCGUUGUCCGGAUUUAUUGGGCGUAAAGAGUUCGUAGGUGGUUUGUUAAGUCUGAUGUUAAAGACUGGGGCUCAACCUCGGAAAUGCAUUGGAUACUGGCAGACUUGAGUGUGGUAGAGGCAAUCGGAAUUCCAGGUGUAGCGGUGAAAUGCGUAGAUAUCAGGAGGAACACCGAUGGCGAAGGCAGGUCACUGGGCCGCAACUGACGCUGAGGAGCGAAAGCAUGGGGAGCGAACAGG